rnacentral:rRNA from 1 species
ACUACGGGAGGCUGCAGUGGGGAAUAUUGCACAAUGGGGGAAACCCUGAUGCAGCGACGCCGCGUGAAGGAAGAAGUAUCUCGGUAUGUAAACUUCUAUCAGCAGGGAAGAAAACAGACGGUACCUGACUAAGAAGCCCCGGCUAACUACGUGCCAGCAGCCGCGGUAAUACGUAGGGGGCAAGCGUUAGACGGAUAUACGGGGUGGAAAGGGGGCGCAGACGGGCCUGGCAAGCCCGGUGUGAAAGGCAGGGGCAUAACCCCUGGACUGCACCGGGAACUGUCAGGCUGGAGUGCCGGAGGGGGAAGCGGAAUUCCUGGUGUAGCGGUGAAAUGCGUAGAGAUCAGGAGGAACACCGGCGGCGAAGGCGGCUUACUGGACGGAAACUGACGUUGAGGCCCGAAAGCGUGGGGAGCGAACAGGAUUAGAUACCCCUGUAGUC